GAAUUUAUAGUUUAUUAUUAAAAUAUUGAAUUUGUAAUUCAAUGAUGCCCGUGCUAAAUUCA
rnacentral:tRNA from 1 species